AUAGCCCCAGCUAUGGGUAAAUAGCCCCAGCUAUGGGUAAAUAGCCCCAGUUAUGGGUAAAUAGCCCCAGCUAUGGGUAAAUAGCCCCAGUUAUGGGUAAAUAGCCCCAGCUAUGGGUAAAUAGUGAAGACCACAACGGCUGGGAAGGCAGAAGAAGGCAACCCCAGAGCCACGUGGGUUAACUCGGGGGGGUACAGUGGCUAGGGGGGCAAACCCCGAAGACAAACCUGCACCUGGGGACAGGCACAGGCGGAGUCCAACUGCCCGGACCACCGGCAGCCCCCCCGCAACUCCUGCCAGACCAAGGUCGUCACGGGUUCCCUCAUGCCACUGGAGGUCCAUCUGGUCUUCAUCACGCACGGCUCCUGGUUCCUCCUCCGGCAAGACUGCCGUCUGCUCCUCGGUUCGGUCUUCGGGUCCUCACACCACCAUCAGUGUCCAGACUCCAUCGGGGGAUCAGCUUCUGGCUUUCUGACCCCCUAAAUAUAUAUAAUUUCAUAAUGACGGAGUCUAAUCUCCAAAGACUGCAAUCGUACAAUAAAUCUUGCAUAUCUAAAA